CCAAGUUCUAGCAUCGUGGACGCAGGUCUUAUCUCUCCGCUCUGAAUUCCUCGAUCAUAUAUAUGCACGAGGAACGGUGAAACCGAAAGAGAGGAAGAAGGCGCGCCGGUGCGCAUUACGACGAGGCGUGCGCGUGAAAAACGGAAAGCGCGGAGGAUCUAAUGCCACUCGCCAAGUGGGUCAAGUAUUAAUCUACGCCCGAUACGGAUUACUCGCUCAUCUCGUGGGCUACUUUGCAAAUGUAUGAUUUAGCGUUCGUCUCUUCUCUUCGUUCAUUCGGAAAUUUUUCUACUUCGAUCUGUACAAAUUGAAAGUAUAAUUCUAUUUUUGUAUAUUAUACUAUCGUAUACAUGUAAUACAAUAUUCUGGGGUAGAUAUGAUAUCGCCAGUAAUUCAAAACAAUGAUAAGUAUUUUUAAAAAAACGACCUACACUGGCCAAUGCUUUUAUUCAAUAUAAAAACGACGUUUCGGUCCUGGAUUUGGACCCUUUUCAAGUAAUCUGUUUCGUAAUUAUCACUGAUCUCGUAUCGUUCAUUUGGCCAAAAUCGCUAUGUUAGUAGAAUAUUAGUCAAAAGAAUAAGAAGGAGAAUUUUGAUUGCACUCUUUGGUUGGAGAGUGCAAAGUCAAUUGAAGUUGCAUUGUUAACUGUUAAACACGAGUAAAAAUGUCCCGAGAUGUGUGUUGGACGAGAUAACAGAUUGAACUUAGUUCAUCAUCAGUAGAUAGUUCAAUGCCUCGGUGGUCGAAUUGGUGAGACGCCCGCCUGGAGUGUAGGGAGGUCCAGGUUCAAACCCUGGCUGAGCUUUUUAACGUCGAAUCACCUUAAUUUCAUCUUAACCGCGAUACUCAGUCGGUCAGCCUUAUUUAUCAAAGGUCUGCGUGCGUAUUUGGCAUUUCAAGGUGCGUGAGGACUGCUCCUCCGCGCGGUCGUAACAAGGCAGCGGCGUGCGAUUGCGAUACAAAAUAUCAUCUACAUUACUCCUCGCGGAGCGAAGAGACGGUGGAAAGUCUCUCGGUCAGGAAUACGUUCGGUAUCUUCACGCUGCUCCGAUACGUUCCGUCCAGCUGGAAUCGUAAUCGCAAAGGAAUACUCCGCGCUUUUCUUAUGGAAAAUACGAGGAUUCUUUACAAUGCUCCAGCAAGGCCAAGUAAAAUACCCAUUAAUACCCAAAACCUGUCUAGUAAUGCCUGAACUCUGUACACCACAAUGCCCUCAGCGGUUUACCCCUCGGAAAAAUGGCUUCAACGAAAUUGACUGAAACUUCAAGUGACGCUGAUCGAAAGUUGCAAGUCAAUCCUGUGAGCCGUUUUCGUUCUAAAAGGGUCAAAGUUCGACAAUAAGUACAAUUUCAGCCAAACCCAUUUUCCGUAAGAAAAUUGCGGGGUCCUCUUCCUCUCCAUCGUGUCGCGCGUCUACCUCACGGGCCAACCCGUUAGGACGGUCUAAUCGUGGAAGGUCGUUCGUUGGCACCGGCCGCGGGACGCGGCCCUUAACACCGGCGAAAUUCCUACGACCUUUGGCGCCGGCUCGAAGCGCUCUCGAGAUGAACAAAGCGCGAAAGAGAGAAAGGCGAGAAGGGAAAUAGAAGGAAUGCAGGGCGGAGCGAAAAGGAACUUGGACGACACUCGUCCGUGUGACGUAGGGACUAUUUUGGGAUCGCACGGAUUCGAAUAGCCGAUUAGGAAGGAGGACCCGCGGUCAUUUCACUUUCUACCGGAUCGGAAAUUUUCGAGCGCGAGCGCCUCUCGAGCGCGGGCAAAAGUCGCCUCGACCUUUUCAAAGAUGCCUCGCUGCGCCGCGCGAGAUUUCAUUGAAGUCACAUGCGAUUGCGAGAAACUUUCACGGAUUGAUGACGCUUCGCCGUAGUUGCCGAUUGCAGCUGGUUCUACGAAAAAAAAGUAGCGAUUCUUGAGAGAGCAGAUGGAAAGAUACCAUUUUUCGCGCGUCUCUCUUCAGCGUAAAAACAAUGUCACACAUUCUCAUCUGCGUUUGAUCGGGUAGAUUAAAUGGAUGCAGUUCGAUUGCCUUUUCAAUGUCGCAUUAAAUUAUAUCUAGCAACUUCUUCGGCCUGAAAAUUUACGUCCUGAAUAAGACGGAAUGUGCAUUGUAAAAUGAUUACAUGUCAAAUUACAAUUAUGAUAGUGAUAAUAUUGGAACCAUCUAUUAAGGCCAAUGUCC